rnacentral:lncRNA from 1 species
GGGUGCUGGUACGUCGCGAGGAAGUUUAAAACCACUGGACCGAACAGAUUUAAGGGUAGCCCACUGAAGGGGAACAUCUUGAAGAGAAGCAGCUCGACGUCAUGAUGCAGUUGUUCACUUUGGUCAUCACCUCCAAGUAUAGGAGGAAUAAUCUAGGAGAUGUAUCAAAAAGAGAUGGAAUCAAGGAUAGCAAAUGCUGACAAAGAGAAAAGAUGGGCAAGCAGUUUUUUGUGAUUAAUACCUAAUGGACCGGAUGAAACAAGGAAGCAAAAAUGAAGUUUAGUGGACCCUUAAUAUCCCCAGAAACUGCUACAGAAGGAGGUGUUCUGGUGAGGGUAACUAAGGAUAAUGUUCCAAGGGCCAGCAACUUGAAGAGGAGCAAUUCAACCCGUUUUCUUAAUUUCGGUGACACUGUUUUAAGGAAGCAUCGUUCAGCUUUGUGCACUGACCUGAGGUCUGGAUUUGAUACGGCACAGGCCCAUCACACUGAGAGCGGCGAUGUGACAGAGCUGAAUCCUAUUCCUGAAGGAAAAAGCAGAGGGGGUGGGCUGUCGGCUGCUCAGACACCUGCCACGUCAAGGGCAGCAGCAGGAGCUGACCCUUCCCUGACGGACCGAUGAACACUGGUGCGGAGAUGACUCUUCAGGUGUCACAGGGUAAGGGGAAGCAUGCUGGCACCGAGCUCCAUGGCAGACUGUCUCCCAGGUGUUGCUUCUGUGCAGUAAAACAAUAAACAGUUUCUUUAUUCUUUGUGCUCA